GGCUGAGGAAGUUGCCUCUCUCUGGCGCCUGCAUUCAAUGAACGUUUGUAAUGUUAGCAGGUGUGGACCUUGAGGAGAUUUUCUCUCCCUGGCUGCCCAAUUAUCAUUUUUAGAGAGGCAAUGCGAUAAUUGCUGAACGAUGUCACCUGACAUUCCUAGCGGGUGGGAGAGAGCCCUCUCCUGCCCCGCUCAUUGCCUAACUACCUGUAACAGGUGUGUGGGUGAGUGCUCCCUGUGAUGGAACGGUGUCCUGUUCAGGACUGGGUGCCACCUGGCACCUUGAGCUGCCAGGACCGGCUCGGGCUGCUCGCGAUCCCAAACUAGAACAAAUGGAAAUGUUCAGUUGUCUAGCUCACAGGGAUAUCCACAAGCCAGACCCAGAAAGCCUUUGCUACCAUUGAUGAAGAUGCCAAGUCCACAGCCCAACAGCCAGAAGACCCUUGGUCUAGCCCUUGGAUUCAGACUGAAUUGAUAUCGCCAGGUUUCCUGUCUUUUCAGCUUGCAGGCAGCUGAUUGUGGGACUUCUCAGCCUCCUUAAUCAUAUUUUCUUAUCAUUGGCCUUCAACAUUUUUAUCAGGAUAUAUCUGUGUAUAUUGCAGAUUUUACAAAUUGAAGGUUUGUGACAACUCCCUCAAGGAAGUCUGUUGGUGUUAUUUUUCCAACAGCAGGUACUCACUUCAUGUCUCUGUGUCACAUUUUGUUUCUCUUGAAUUUGCAGUUUACCCAUACCCAACAGCCUUAUUGGAAGGACUAUACACAAUUUUCAUGGCCUUUAAACCAAGAGAAGACAUACCUGAGCAAUUGAACCAGAAGGGAUGAGCCCCACCUGGAUCUGAUGCAGAUUAAAAUAUCUUGGACCUUGGGCCUGAGCUUGGAAUGGAAUGAGACCUUUGAGGAUCUUAGUGGGGAAUCCCCUUGUCAUAAAACCAAUGCAUAAGAUACAACUGCAUCCAAUGUAUUCCAGGGAAAGAUUCUCUGCAGAUGACUCAAGGAAAGCCACAGGAGCAACAGGGAAACUGAAAGAACAAAUAUCACAGUUGAUUCAGAAGGGCAGCCCCACAUUUUUAAGUGAUACCCAACCAUUGUGAACAAGCUCUGUCAACACCAUCUGCUCCACAAAGGAAAGUUGCUGAUUAUUGCAUCUCUAAGUGGAGUCGGUUCUCUCCCACGAUAGCAGAAGGCUUUCACAUUCACUAUACUGUUAUGGACAUGGAGGAUGGGAACCAUUGCUUUGUUUACUCUGCAACUUCUUAAUUAUAUCACAAAAGACUCGACACAUAAGCAGUAUCCAGAAAAGCAAGUCGACUACAUAAAAAUCAAUGCAUGAUUGUCUAUAGCCUUUGACAUACUAGGACCAGUCAAGAUAUGUGUGGAGGGUAAUGAAGAAUGGGCAAAUACCAGAGAAAAGACAGCUGAGUGUCCAUGAUAAAG
rnacentral:lncRNA from 1 species